CGAGCGAGCAAAAAUUUGUCUCGAGCGAGCAAAAGUUUGUCUCCGCGAGGUAUUUGCUCGCUUGUGAAACGUGAACUUCGUUGCUCGUGAGGAGAAUCUCUGCUCGCGCUCGAAGUAGUUUUCUACGCGCUCGCUGUUGUUCUUUUUGACAGUAAGGUGGAGACGGUGCUUUCAGGGUCCGGUCGAUGAGAGGCACAAAAUCUUAAUUUCCACCAGGCUGAUUGCAUUGUAUAUGGUUGAUUUAACAGAAUUUAGGGAGUGUGUUAUUUAUUUCAAACCGUGCUCUGCUGAGAGUUUUUAUUAUUUUGAUUUAAUUUCUUUUACUUUUAGCCUACUUUUAUUUUCUGUCUUUGCACUGCUGACUAGCCUGAAUAAAAUAGACAGGUUAUUGUCUAUGCUGGUUUGUCUAGCCUUUAUUGAGCUCUGUUGGUUGAGCAUGAUGUUUAGACAGUGUUUUGUUAUUGUCUUUGCCGAAUAUUGCAAAAUAAAGGUGUAACUGUUUUUGCAAUUUAGCUACUCUCUUUUCUACUCUCUAAGGUUUAAUUAUUAUUUAAGUAAUUUUUUUUCUACAAAAAACUAGGCCCACCCACUUUUUCACUGGCCCGCCCAAAAUACAAUUUCUGCCUAAGCCCCUGCUGCUCGCGCACAAAGGAGUUUUCUACGCGCUCGCUGUUGUUCUUUUUGACAGUAAGGUGGAGACGGUGCUUUCGGGGUCCGAUCAAUGCUGCGAGGUGGGUCUGGAUUAGGAUUGAAGGAUUAGGGAUGAAUGAGGUUCAUACAUUUUGUUCGUCCGGCGGUGCUGCAGCUUCAUUAUGCUACUUGAUAUUGUGCUUUGCUCCACGCUUUGCUCCCCCCCUCCAAGUUCUUACACCUGCUUUAGCUUUGUUUUUUUUGUCUUCGACACUGGGUUGUCCCCCAAUAGUUUUGUUUGCGUUUCAGAACGUUAACUUUACACACUCUUUGUUGUCAUUGUGGACAGUGAGGAAGUUAUGUAACGGAGGUGUCAUAAAACUCUGCACUGUUUGAGAAGAAAACGCCAGGUCUCUGAACUUAAGAAAGAACAGCCAAGGCCCUUGAGUUUUUACUACACGAGCCAGACGCGCAGGUUCAGAUGCUCGCAGUUUGUUUUAUGAUGUCAGGCCUUAAACUGCAGAUACUUCAGCUGAGCUCGCAGGGGCAUAAUCUCCAGCUGGAAAGCUUUCUCGGGCCCUGGUGUUGCCCUUCACCUGGGUGAGGCGUGGAAAGUUGGCAGGAGACUGGAGUUUCAGCAACAUCAAUACUCUUCCUGCCACCAGGUUUGUUUUAUGUCUCUCUGCGUCGGCGGGCACUUGAGGGGUGGACAAUUUGUUUAGGCAGCUGAAGAUGGAACUGUGUGUAGCGGAGGAUUAUGAGAUCGCCGGGUGAUUUGUGGGUGGGAUCUUCUCAGAGGCCCCCGGCUGAAAUAUCCAACACUUGCUUUGGUGUUAAAUUAUGAUACCUAAACCAUAAAUAUUCUGCAUUAAGACCCCCAGCGUUCCACGUUUGAGAACAGAUAGUUUGUCUUUCUGUUCUUACUCCCCCCGUGAGUGGCUGAAUUUGUCCCACAUUCCUUUGUGAAAAACACUUAAUGAGUCAGUGAAACCAGGGAUUUUAUUCUUCCUCUGUUGCGCACACAUCUUCGCAGCGCGGUUUACAUCUUAAUAAUGUACUCCAGACCAUAAUUUAAUUCACCACAGCAGUGUGAAACACACACCGAGAAGGAAUCUCGCCACAGCAAAAAUUGGAGUGUUGAAAUUUCAGGGUUAAAAAUUUCCGAGUUGAUUUUCACUCCCUGAGUGUAAUUUUAACACAUUCUGAUUUAAAUGGUGUUCAGUGUUGGAGUUAUUUGGCAGAGUUGAUCAUGUCAGUGUUAACCCAACUCCGCAGAGACGUAAUUAAGCUCCGCCCACGCCUUUCACCUCUUCGGUUAGAGACAGAGAAGACAAGUCUGCGCCAUUUUCUACCUCUCAUGCAGUACUACACGUCAUGGAGAGAUUUGGCCUGCCACCUGAUGCAAAUGUUAUAUACAAGGAUGCAACAGGGACAGAAGUUGAUGCAGAAAUAUUCAGCGACCUCGUUGGACAAGGCAAUGUGGUCCUGACAGUUUUCUCAGAUCAGGAAUUCUCUGAUUUCUCCUUGUCUUCUGAGACGUCUGACUCAAGCUUCAGCUCAAGUGCAUCAACUAUAAUCCUAGAUGUUCCGAACAAGAGACAAAGAAUUGAGGAUACACGUGAUGCUGUGUCUGCUAAACAGUUGAUAGAAGCUGUGCUAAGAGGCAAGUCCGGAGGUGAAGAAGUACUACAGGAGUACCAAACAACAGAAACCCAGAUGCUGCAAGAAGACAAAUGGUUAAUAUCCUGGUGGCUCACAUGAUUGACAAUCAUGGGCACUAAAACAAUCAGAGAAGAUUAUGCACGUGGGAUAGUGAUGCUGUUCCCUUCCCUUAAGGAUCCAUACUCCAAGAAGGGCUAUGUAAUAGGCAUUAUUAUUGUUUAAACUUCCAUGUCAUGUUGUGACCCAAAACUGUGUGGAUGACAUUGAUAUUUGAAUUCCGUGAGAUUUCUCAUGAGCCUGGUAUUACAACACAUUUCUUUUUUCAUUUCAGGAACACUUCUAUGAUGCUGCAAGCAGCACAGGAUACAUUUCUUGGCGUCUGAAAACAGUCCAGAGGAAGAUUCGUCAAGUAUCUGCACAGCCACCAAAAAGCCCAAUUGACUUUUCUCCAGUAGGCCCAAAUUGCCAAAGGACUGUUAAUGUUGAAGGGCAGCUUGAUGGUGAUGCUUGCCAAGAGGCCAUGUCUUUGCUUAACCAUGCAGCAGACAAUUCCCUGAUUUUCCAGAAGAUGAGAGAGACCUUUCAGCAUCGUCAGAAGCUUGUUAAUGACCCAGGCAGAAGUGUUGAUAUACUCUCCAACUUCCCAAGAUUUCUGGAUACAAAAGGAUUGGUGGAACAAGACUUCACUCUCCUAUUUGACGAAGACACAUCAUCCAGGCUUCUUCAGAAAUGGGAUUUGUUCUUCAAGCCAAAUGUCAUUAAAGAGGCUAAGCGGCUCACCUCAACACCAGAGUUGCGUCGCUUGGUGCAGUCAGCAGAAAGUCCCCCAGGAAGUGAUCUUGAUGAGGCAACAACCUACGACCAAGAAAUGGCCUCCCUGUUGUUGCUGUUACAUCUCCUUCCACCACCUCCAGGGGGACUGAAGUCUCCAAAAAUUAGUGCAUGUGAUGCAGUUGAAAGACUUGUUGUCUUUCAUAAGUCAUGCUGCAGUUUGGAGGAGCAUCUCCGCAACCAGCAGGGUCGGCAGCCGUACCUCCUCGCUGUUGGGCGUCAGAAGAGCAAGAUUGACAGCUUCUACGUCACCAUGGAUAAGCGUCUCAUCCCAUGCAAGGCAAACCGCUCCCUCGGGGCAUGUGAUGAACUUUUCAAAGCACAUUAAAUUUGUCUUACGAUGUGGCACUUGUGAAUUUUUAUACAUUCCUGCAGACAACAGUGUAUAACAUUGAUGUGGGGAAAAUGAAGGAGUCACCCAGAGUUAAAGACUUGAGAGCAAGACUGCUUAACCAGCAAGUAGCAUUCUCACCCUGUGAGUAAGAAGCUAUAACAAUGCUGACCUGUUUCAUGUGUCAGAAAAAUUAUCCCAGCAGUCAGCAGUUGAUUUCACAUUUAAGAGUUGAACAUGGUUACUAUCCUGGACCCAAGUUCAAAUUGUUUUGUUCUCAGCAAUGCUGUAGGCAUCAGUUCCUAACAUAUGCAGGUUUUCGAAAGCACCGUAAUAGUGUUCAGAGCAUUUUUCAGCAAACUCAAACUUCAACUGUUGCAUGUUCAUCUAGUGAGCCAGUUGCAACUUCAUCUCAGGCACAUACUUUGGAGGACCAAUUUAUUCCACAAAAUCAAUGUAGUUCUUCCAGUAUUUCUUCUGAGGCCAAUGAUUCAGGACUUACUAAAGAUCCAACUAAAGAAAUGUGUGCAUCCAUCGUGGCCAAAUUACAGGGGAGUGGGAUAUCCAACAGUUUGGUAUCCUCAAUUGUAGGAGAUUUGGAAGAACUAACGAGUGAACUUCGCUCACAAGCAAAGCAUACAGCUAUUUCUGCUUUACCUAUAACUGACCCCAACAUAUCUGUGAUAAAUGAAUCUUUUGAAGAUUAUGAAAAUCCGUUUUCAAAUCUGAACACAGAAUGGAAACGAAAUAAAUACUUCCACCAAAAAUGGGGAGUUGUUGAGCCAGUAGAAAUAACACUGGGAGUGAGAUAUGACAACAGGCGAAAUCAGAAAUCCGGUACUUAUGAUCAAGUACCUGUGAAGGAUACUUUUAUCUAUGUGCCAAUUUUAGAAACAUUGAAGUUCAUGUGCAGAAAUCCAGACAUUUGUGUUUUGCUAAAGAAGGAGUGUAGAUCAGAGCCUGACACUUAUACUGACUUUUUUGGUGGAAGUUAUUUUAAAACCCACCCUUUGUUUACAGCUAAUAAACAUGCAUUGCAAAUUCAACUAUACUAUGACGAUUUUGAAACAGCCAAUCCCCUUGGCUCCAAACGUGGAAUACACAAAAUUGGCUGUCUUUAUUUUGUUGUAAGAAAUUUGCCCCCAAAAUUUAAUUCGGUUUUGAUGAACAUUCAUUUGGUAUCACUUUUUCACACACAAGAUCUGCGCAAGUAUGGUUUUGAUGUUAUACUAGAACCGUUGAUAAAUGAUGUGAAAAAACUAGAAAGCCAAGGGCUAAGUCUUCCAUUUGUAGAUGAGCAGGUAUAUGGUACAAUCUGUCAGAUUACUGGAGAUAAUCUAGGGAUGCACACAAUUCUUGGUUUUAAUGAGUCAUUUAGUAGCCGUCAUUUCUGUUGCCUUUGUUUGAUUGAGAAGAAUGAUUGUCAAACGGUAUACAGUGAGGAUGAUCCUAAAGUGAUCCUUCGUGGAAAAGAUAUGUUUGAUAUGCAUUGCCAGUCUCUCCAGGAAAACCCACAAUUUAAGUCACUUUAUGGUUUGAAAAAAAGAUCUGCACUUAAUUCAUUGAAGUAUUUCCAUGUUUGCAAUAACUAUUCAUUUGAUAUCAUGCAUGAUCUUCUUGAGGGUGUGGUUCAGUAUGAGAUCAAAUUGCUUUUUGGAUAUCUCACACAACACUUUAUGUCAGAACAAGACUUGCUUUCCAGGAUUUAUGGUUUUGAUUAUGGAUUUUUAGAACGAAAAAAAUCGUCCUACAAAGAUUAUUUUGGAGAGUGCUGGCAAUGGCAUUGGUUUGAAUUCUAUUCAGACAUUGUGUCUUGUGAAAAACAUCCCACUGUUGUUUGGUGAAAUUAUUCCUGCAGGAAACAAAAACUGGAAUUGGUUACUGUUGUCAAAUAAUGAACAUAGUUUUUUCACCUUCUCUCACUCUAGGUAUGACAAUAUAUUUAAAGCAUUUGAUUGUUGACCACCACAAACUAUUUAAGCACUUGUAUCCACAUAGAAACGUGAUACCUAAGCAUCAUUUUAUGAUCCAUUACCCAUCUUCUAUAAGGAAAAUUGGCCCCUUAUUAUAUACGUGGUGUAUGAGGUUUGAGGCCAAACACAAGCUGUUUAAAGAUUCUUUAAAAAAUUUCAAAAACAUAACCAAAUCGCUUGCUAUAAAGCAUCAGAUGGCCAUUGCUUAUCACUGGGAAACCUUCACCCUCAAAAAAAAUGAGUAUGGGCCCAUUAAAUCUUUUCUCUUCAGAGAUGAGAAUGUGGUCAACAAUGAAAUGCUUGAAACAAUCUUGUCAAAAGAUGUUUUCUCAACUAGUUGGGUUAAAGUUGAUGGUGUAGAGUAUAAAGCUGGACUAGUUAUUUGCAGUGCAAUGGAAGAAGACAUGCCAGUCUUUUGUCAAAUAAGUGAUGUACUUUUGGUUGAAGAUCACUUAUUUUUUUUGACAAACAAGCUAUUUACAGAGAAUUUUGAUGACCAUCAUCAUGCAUUCAGAGUAUUACGAAGUGCGGAAAGAUGUUUACUAAAAAUGUCUUAGCUUAAAUUUCAAAAACCGUUUGAUAUUCAAAGCUCAUACAAUGUUUCGGAUGAAAGUUUGUACAUUAUACCUUCAUUCACAAUGUUUUAAUUCAACUGACUGCAAG
ensembl:lncRNA